GGGCGUUUAGCUCAACGGUAGAGCAUCUCGUUUACACCGAGAAGGUUGUAGGUUCGAAUCCUAUAGCGCCCA
rnacentral:tRNA from 1 species